CCAAGGUGACCAUGCAAGGUGGCCAUGCAGGGAUCGUGCUUUAACAGCAAACCGAAACUGCAUUGUUUCAUUUGGUUACUCAAAUGAACAUUUUGUAUUUUAGUUUGUUUUGAACUAAGUUGGUAACUGUAUUUUGAUGUAAUUAGGUGCUGAAUGACAAGUUUAGGUAGAAGUUUAUGUUUUCAAUCAAGUUUACCAAGUUACUAGGCAAUUUAGUGGUGUUAGGUAUGUUAUUAGGUGGCAACUUGUUUGUUUUGCUGUUGUUAUCUCAUAUAUGUAUUGGUAUUAUGGCUUGUAAAAAUGUUAAUGAAAAUUCAGCUCAUUUUCAUUCAAUUUCAUCUCUUUCUUUUCUGUUCUCCAUUGCAAAAUUUCUUUCUUCUUCUUCAAUAGUUUAUUCAGCAAGGCUCGACACUUGCUGUGCAAGCAAGCUGAAACCAUCUUGCUAUUACCUCUUGCACCAACAAUUGGUAUCUAGAGCCGUUGUCUUAGUGGACCUGUUGCUUCAAACCAAGGAACCUGAUGGCUUCUUCAGGAUUUUCACCAGCAGCCCCACCAGUCUUCAAUGGAGAAAGCUUUCACAUAUGGCUGGUAAAGAUGAAGACUUACCUGCAGGCCUUUGAUCUGUGGGAAGUUGUUAACACAGAUGCUGAGCCAGCACCACUGAGGGCUAAUCCCACAGUAGCUCAGAUCAGACAACAUGCUGAUGAGAGGACCAAAAGGCACAAAGCCAUGUCCUGCAUUCAGAACUGUGUAUCAGAUGUCAUCUUUACCAAAAUUAUGGCCUGUGAGACUCCAAAACAGGCCUGGGACAAGCUUAAGGAGGAGUUUCAAGGCACUGAGAGGACAAGGCAACAACAGCUGUUGAAUUUGAGAAGGGAUUUCGAGAAUCUGAAGAUGUAGGAAGAAGAAACAGUGAAGCAGUAUUCAGAUAGAAUUAUGGCAGUGGUUAACAGUAUAAGGCUCCUAGGUGAGCACUUUGAUGAGGCAAGAAUUGUGGAGAAAGUCCUCUCCACUUUGCCUGAGAAAUAUGAAGCAAAGAUAUCCUCCCUAGAGGACUCAAGAGACCUUGCUAGCAUCUCUUUGACUGAGUUAAUCAACACCUUCUAUGCUCAGGAACAAAAGAGAGCUAGCAGAGCUGAAGAUCACCAAGAAGGUGCAUUUCAAGCCAAGGCCAGAGAAGCCUCGAGCACCAAUGCUCAAAGAGGCAAAAAGCCUUGGAAAAGCAGGCCUAAGCCUGAUGCUGCAAGGAGCAAUGACCAGCCCUGCAGAUAUUGCAAGAAGCUAGGCCAUCCAGAAGACAGAUGUUGGUUCAGGCCAGAAGCAGUAUGCCAGCACUGCAAGAAGAAGGGCCAUGUUGAAAGGGUUUGCAAAAAUAGAACCAAGCCAAGGCAGAGCCAAUUUCAACAACCAAAGGUUGAAGCUCGAGUAGCUGAGGACAGUAGUGACCAAGAGGAGCAGGUCUUUGCUGUUUCUUGCUUAACUGCUGAGAAGAAAUCUUCAAAAGGUUGGCUAUUGGACAGUGGUUGCACUAACCACAUGUCACCAGAUGCCUCCUUGUUUAAAACCUUGGAUAGAAGUUGCAAAACCAAGGUCAAGGUUGGAAAUGGCCAGUUUAUAAAGGCUGAAGGAAGAGGAGAGGUGCUGAUAUGUACUCCUACAGGUAACAAGGUCAUACCAAAUGUGCUUUUGGUGCCUGAGAUUGACAGAAACCUUCUCAGCAUAGCCCAAUUGCUUGAGAAAGGUUAUUCUGUUGUAUUCAAGGAUAAACAGUGCCACAUUGCAGAUCCAAGUGGAUCAAGCCUUAUGACAGUCACAAUGACUGAUAAAUGCUUUAAGGUUCAUUGGUCAAAUGACUCAAAGUCAGCAUAUACAGCCUCUAUAGAUGACUCCAAACUCUGGCAUAGAAGGCUUGGACAUGCCAACUUCAGGUCAAUGGGUCGAAUGGCCAGUGAGGGCUUGGCUGAGAACUUCACCAACUCAGUGGAGUAUGAUGAUGUGUGUGAGGUCUGCCAGAUGGGGAAACAGGCAAGAUUGCCAUUUUCUACAAAUGCAGCAUGGAGAGCUACUGAAAGACUGCAGCUGGUGCACUCUGAUGUAUGUGGCCCGAUGAGGACUGAAUCACUCAGCAAAAACAGGUAUUUCAUCCUCUUCAUUGAUGAUUUUACAAGGUUUUGCUGGAUUUUCUUCUUAAAACAUAAGUCUGAGGUAGCUCAAGUGUUUGUGAAGUUUAAAACUACUGUAGAAACAGAAACAGGUUGCAAGCUGAAAUCGAUAAGGUCAGACAAUGGCACUGAGUACACUUCAGCUCAGUUUCAAGCCAUUUGCAAGGAUGCUGGCAUCAAACACCAGCUUACAAAUGUCUACACACCUCAGCAGAAUGGGGUAUCUGAAAGAAAGAACAGAAGUCUGAUGGACAUGGCCAGGUGCCUGUUGUUUGAGAAGAAACUGCCCAAAGCCAUGUGGGCUGAGGCAGUGAACACUGCUGUUUACCUACAGAACAGACUUCCAACCAAAGCUCUUACUCACAAGACACCUUUUGAGGCAUGGUUUGGUUUCAAACCUUCAUUGGCUCAUCUAAAGGUGUUUGGUUGCUUGUGUUAUACACAGAUACCAACAGUAAAGAGGGAUAAGCUAUCAAAGAGAGCUCAGGCUGGCAUCCUAGUUGGCUAUAGCUUAGUCAAAAAAGGAUAUCGGAUCCUGGACCCCUUGACAAGUAAAAUUCAAGUGAGUAGGGAUGUGAUUUUUGAUGAAAAGGCAUGCUGGAAUUGGGAUAAGAAUUCACCAGAAGCUGAGGUAAAUGAAAUGGUGCCUAACCAAGCUGAACUUGAGCAACUUUGUCCUGAAGUGGACUUUGAUGAUGUGCCUGUAAGAGGCACAAGGCUCUUGGAUAAAAUUUAUGAAAGAGCACAGGUUGCCAAAGUUGAACCUACCUGUUUUGAAGAAGCUGAGACAGAUGAAGGUUGGAAGCAAGCAAUGGCAAAAGAGAUCAGCAUGAUUGAGAAGAAUCAGACUUGGGAACUGGUUGAAAAACCUGUCAACAGAAGGAUCAUUGGAGUAAAAUGGGUUUAUCGAGUCAAGCACAAUGCAGAUGGAAGCUUAAACAAACUGAAAGCUAGACUGGUUGUAAAAGGCUUCAGUCAAAAAUAUGGUUUGGACUACAUGGAAACAUUUGCUCCAGUAGCCAGACUUGAUACAAUCAGAUUGCUUGUGGCUCUUGCUGCUCAAAACCAGUGGUCAAUUCACCAGAUGGAUGUAAAGUCUACAUUUCUCAAUGGCUUUCUGGAAGAGGAGAUAUAUAUUGAACAACCUCCAGGUUUUGUAAUGCCUAGUAGAGAACACUUGGUAUACAGGCUCAAAAAGGCCUUGUAUGGCCUAAAACAGGCUCCUAGAGCCUGGUAUGCUCGAAUUGAUUCAUACCUGAUCAGCUUAGGAUUCGAAAGAAGUUCUAGUGAACCAACUCUUUAUGUUAAGAAGAAUCAAGCAGAAACACAGCUUAUUGUGUCUCUUUAUGUGGAUGAUCUCCUUGUGACAGGAGGAGACAAGACUAUGUUAGAAGAUUUCAAAGGAAAAAUGAAGGAGAUGUUCGAGAUGUCAGAUUUGGGGUUGAUGACUUAUUUCCUUGGAAUAGAGAUACAACAAGCUGAUCAAGGGAUCUUUUUGGGACAAAAGGCAUUUGCUUUGAAAGUUUUAUCCAAGUUUUCAAUGCAAAAUUGCAAGCCAACAUGCACACCUAUGGCAGUUGGCAUAAAACUGUCGAGCCAAGAAGAACAUGAGCCUGUCAAUGAAUCAUUUUAUAGGAGCCUUGUUGGUUGUUUUCUGUAUUUAACAGCAACAAGACCUGACAUUCUGUUUGCUGUGAGCAUGCUAUCAAGGUUCAUGCACUGCUGUAACCAGCAACAUUACAAGGCUGGGAAAAGGGUGCUAAGAUACAUCAAAGGUACCUUAAACCAUGGAAUAUAGUUUAGAAGGGCUGAAGAGUUGAAACUGAUUGGCUACACUGAUAGCGAUUGGGCUGGUUCAAAGGAUGACAUGAAGAGCACUUCUGGCUAUGCUUUUACACUUGGCUUAGCUAUAAUAUGUUGGAGCUCAAGAAAACAAACAAUGGUGGCUCAAUCAACAGCAGAAGCAGAGUAUGUAGCAGCUGCCAAUGCUGUUAAUCAAGCUAUGUGGCUGAGAAAAAUUUUGAGCGAUUUGAAUCUACAGCAGAAUGAAGCAACUGUGAUACAUUGUGACAACAAGUCAGCAGUUGCUAUUGCUAAAAAUCCUGUCUUCCAUGGCAGGACAAAACAUUUCAACAUUAAACUCCAUGUGAUAAGAGAAAUGGAACAAGCUCGAGAGAUCGAGCUAAUUCAUUGCAGCUCAGAAGGUCAGAUCGCCGAUAUCUUCACAAAAUCACUUGGUACAUCGAGAUUUCUAAACCUAAGGAAGCAGCUAGGAGUCUGCUGCAUAGAAGCUGAGGAGGAGUGUUGAAGUCAACCCCCAUGCAGCAGCCAAGGUGACCAUGCAAGGUGGCCAUGCAGGGAUCGUGCUUUAACAGCAAACCGAAACUGCAUUGUUUCAUUUGGUUACUCAAAUGAACAUUUUGUAUUUUAGUUUGUUUUGAACUAAGUUGGUAACUGUAUUUUGAUGUAAUUAGGUGCUGAAUGACAAGUUUAGGUAGAAGUUUAUGUUUUCAAUCAAGUUUACCAAGUUACUAGGCAAUUUAGUGGUGUUAGGUAUGUUAUUAGGUG
rnacentral:lncRNA from 1 species